AUAACAUGCAGAUCUCGCUUAUGCAUUAACAAUUACUGCAAGGCUGCAGAUAACAGAGGGACGUGAUACUGAACCGAGCAGAUGAAUCGAUAACAAUGUCUUUCAAUCAGUCUGAAGAUACUACUUAUCGCAGUCUAACCAUCUUUUCACUAACAGUAGUGUCGUCCAUCUUUUGGUGCUUUGUUUUUUUUCUGAUAUUUUGUAUUUGCUUCUUUUUUUUUCAUGGUCAGCAGAAAAAAAAGUAAAUCACAUCUCCCUACAUAAUCUUCUUUCCGCUUAAUUGACUACACAUUAAAUAUCACAAAAAUUAUAAAUGGUUCCCGCUUCAAUUUCACAGGCAAAAAUCACAACCGGAUGGAGAUGAGGUAAAAACUUUUCGUGUUUACUGCAUAAUCGCUCUAGCGAAUGCAAAUGACAGCACUGAGAUAGAGACAGACAUGCAGAUAGCUUGAUUAUUUAUUAUUGGGUGCUUAUUGCUUAUUUUCUGAAAGGUCACAGAGCCGGGUGUUUCUAUAAACGAGGUAUGCAUUUUGAGAAUUUGCACUUCUGUUUUGCUGUCAGACCUCGAGACUGUAUCUGUUUAUGCCAAGGAUCAUUCUAGCUCUUUCUCUCUCUUUAGGGCUCCGAAAAGACGAAGAAAAAAGAAAAAAAUAAAAGUUACAAAGAGAGGGUCAACUCGGUGUACUACGAGUGGCUUACAGAUCACUGACCGGAGGAAACCAGGAAACUCAGUUUGUACGCAGGCUACGUAAAUGGACUAAAGUUAGUAUAAAACGAUGAAAUUGUCUUGUUUCGGUGAUAAGACAUGUCUUGAUAACGUAUUAAAGCGCAAACUUAUGUUUUUGUUUUCAUUGGUCAGGGAAAAAGGGCCCUGGUGCACUGAAUCGCAAAAAAAUUGAGAUUCAUAAAUAAUCAAUUGUAUUGGUUAUGAAAGGUUCAUAUUUUGGUUUGGAGAGUCCCCAGCACUUCUCAUUGUCUACAAUAUUAAUUAUUUUUUUACCUAAUUCGCGGUGAUUGGUCUUAUUUUUUUUGAUGAAGUGUGUGUACAGCGUUGCCGGGGAAACAGAUGUUGUUACCUCCAAAAGCGCACCUAGUGGCAGAGAAUGAAUUUGCAUUUGUAUUCAGACCAAAAAGUAUGCUAAAGGUUCAUGUUUCAGUGUUUCUUAAUCGACUCUUUAUUUUGAGAGACAAUAACUUCACAUAUGGUACACUUUCAGAUUUAAAACUUUGUUUUUCAUUCGCUUAGAGCUGUGUCACACGCUGCAUUGAAGGCCAUUUGCGAAAAAAUCCACGUAAGGGGUGCUUUAAAGCAUUCGCUUACAAGUUCAAAAAGGAGGAUUCUUGUGUCAUUCCUAACCUGUGGGACGUUUCUCUUCCGUGUUCUGUUUUCCCUCAUUGUUCUUAGUGUUUGAUCUCCAUGUUUUCACCUUUUUGGGUGAACUAUUGUGAAAAAUACAGGACGGAUUUAAGUAGUUUAUGUACAUUAGGAAAAAAAAGUUCUACAUAUUUUUAUAUUUUUUUAGUGCAGUAUACUGAUGUUUGUUUAUGAGUUUUCACUGAAAGACGAUCUUACUCGCAUGUGUAUAUAAAUUCUUCAAAUUCAACAUCCAU